rnacentral:lncRNA from 1 species
GAAAUCUUGGAGUCUGCCUCUCAGCCCAGCCAGCAUUCCUCAUCAUAUGGGAAAAAAAUACUUAGACUAUGAACUCUGGUAUUUCUUUCCUUCCCUCUCAUUCCUCUCUACUCCCCAAGAAUGCAGAUUAAACAAUAGCUGGACUUGUUGAAGUACUGAACAAUGAUGACAUCUAUACAACAGAAAAUUCAAGAAGUGAAAAAUUCAUGAUUCCCAGAUGUUAAUAUAUAUCAAAACAUUGGGGAUAAAAUAAAACACGUAAAGAAAUGAGGCCA